AGCGAACGCUGGCGGCAGGCCUAACACAUGCAAGUCGAACGAAGCCUUCGGGCUUAGUGGCGGACGGGUGAGUAACACGUGGGAACGUACCUUUUGGUUCGGAACAACUCAGGGAAACUUGAGCUAAUACCGGAUGAGCCCUUAGGGGGAAAGAUUUAUCGCCGAAAGAGCGGCCCGCGUUGGAUUAGCUAGUUGGUGAGGUAAAGGCUCACCAAGGCUACGAUCUAUAGCUGGUCUGAGAGGAUGAUCAGCCACACUGGGACUGAGACACGGCCCAGUCUCCUACGGGAGGCAGCAGUGGGGAAUCUUGCGCAAUGGGCGAAAGCCUGACGCAGCCAUGCCGCGUGAAUGAUGAAGGUCUUAGGAUUGUAAAAUUCUUUUACCAGGGACGAUAAUGACGGUACCUGGAGAAAAAGCCCCGGCUAACUUCGUGCCAGCCGCCGCCGUAACAC
rnacentral:rRNA from 1 species